rnacentral:rRNA from 1 species
CUACCCUUGACAUGUCUGGAAUCCUGAAGAGAUUUGGGAGUGCUCGAAAGAGAGCCAAAACACAGGUGCUGCAUGGCCGUCGUCAGCUCGUGUCGUGAGAUGUUGGGUUAAGUCCCGCAACGAGCGCAACCCUUGUCAUUAGUUGCUACGAAAGGGCACUCUAAUGAGACUGCCGGUGACAAACCGGAGGAAGGUGGGGAUGACGUCAGGUCAUCAUGGCCCUUAUGGGUAGGGCUACACACGUCAUACAAUGGCCGGGACAGAGGGCUGCCAACCCGCGAGGGGGAGCUAAUCCCAGAAACCCGGUCGUAGUCCGGAUCGUAGUCUGCAACUCGACUCCAUGAAGUCGGAAUCGCUAGUAAUCGCAGAUCAGCAUUGCUGCGGUGAAUA